GUAUUUGUAUUUUUAUAUUCUUUUUACCUUUUGUCACUCUAGGUGAUUAACAUGAUUGCACAUUCUUCUGAAUUUGAGAAUAUUGCUAUUCGAGAAGAAGAAGAAAAUGAGCUAGAGAUGUUGGCGCGCACAUCAUGUCCAUUAGAAAUUAAGUUGUACAUAUCUCGAGGUUCUAUGGAUUCUUUUUCUUUGGUAUCUGAUGCUGCAUAUAUUAGUGCAAGCUUGGCUCGAAUAACACGGGCAUUAUUUGGGAUUUGUUUACGAAGAGGCUGGUGUGAGAUGACUCUGUUAAUGUUGGAAUAUAGCAAAGCUGUGGAUCGUCAAGUUUGGCCACAUCAACAUUCUCUUAGACAAUUUGACAAUCACCUUUCUGCAGAAAUAUUCAGAAAGCUUGAAGAGUGUGGGGCUGACCUAGAUCGCCUGUUUGAGACCGAGGAAAAAGGCAUUGGAGGCAUUAAUUCUGUAUGCACCAAAGGAAGGGGAUGUAGCUUUUAGUAGAGUAAUGUUGAAUGGUUUCCUUCAUAAGUUGCUUCAGAUGUUCAAGAAAUGUUGAUUAUUAUAUUGUUAUUCGUUCCCGCUUUUUAGUUGGUCAAGCAAAAUCUAAGGUAUUUUCCAUUACUUCAGUUAUCAGCAACUGUGAGUGUGUGAGUCCCAUUACCAGAACUGUACUAAAGGUAUUUUACAGUUAUGAAUACCUAUGUAGACGGAUUAGUUUCACAUUUUUUUCAUUGAUUUCAUCACAAAAUAGUCUUGACCUCCAGUUCUACAAAAUCACUUGUUAUUUUGAGGUUGAUUUGGUCACUACGCCUGUUUUCACUUGGAAAGAUUGUUUUCAUGGUACUGCUCAACGUUGGUAGAUUUUGGUAGAGGUGAAAUAAAUUUUCCUUUGAUGAUGCAUCACUCUGUAAAUUCUUGUUUUUUUGUUAAAAAAACUGAACACUUGUUAUAGAGGAGAAGUUUAUUUGACUGUAGAGAGCAUUUGAAAAAGAAAGAGGAUGAGUAAUGAACUCUUGUUGGUUUCUCCUGAUUGAGCUUGUGCUCUAGGAUUUUUUCUUAUCAUUCUUUAAUGUUUUUUAUAUCCUUGUAGUUGUUGGUGGAGAGGAUGAGGUCAUUUGGUCCUUACAAUUUGUAUGACUGUUUUUAAGGAAACAAGAUUAUGGAGAAAAUAAGCAUCCAACUUAUGUCCUGCAGUAUAAUAAUUGAUAUUAUAUGACAUAAGAGAUAGAUGAAGAUAAAUAAGAAGUAUUAACUAGGUGUAUACACUGUGCUGGAUAUCAUGAAUUCAAUGACUAUGUAGUGAUAAUGUACGAAGUUUUACAUUGUCAUUCAACCACGAAGUUGGCUUUCAAAUUUGAUGUGAGGAAUUAGAGCAGGUAGAAGCACCUCAUCCAUUUGAUUCUGUCAUGGAGAAUAAAAUCACAAAGCCUUCCACCCAUUCACUUUUAUGUGUAAAAGCAGAGUUUCUAUGGUAACAAGGAGACCAGAGACACCAAAUUUGUAUCCAUUAAAGCUUCCCUACAUAUCUACAAUAAAGCAGCAAAAGAAGUUUCGGAAUAAAGCAUAACUCAGCAGAAAAAAAGGCAUCAUAUUGAUGCCAUAGCUAUCUCCUUUUACUGUCAUAUUAACCUUGCAUAAUUGCUAAAGGACUAUUGACUGGUCUUAAUUCCUGUACUUCUAUACUUAGAGAAAUAUGUGAGAACUGAACAAUAAUUUACUCCUUUCAAAAACUUAUUCUAUUUCUUGAAUAACAUUAUGUGUACAUAAUCUUCACAUGGAGUGUUAUCAAAAGACUAAUUUCUAUUCAAGAACCUUAGCUUUAUUAGCAUCACUUUUAGUAGGAUUUUCCUUUCUAAUUAUUAUUUCUUUUCAUCCACUGAAGUUGAUUAUGAAUCCUAAUGUGUAAAUGGUUUAAUUCUAUUUAUAUGUUGCUUUCAUAAAAUAGUUAAGAUUCCUCAACUAUCUACUAUUACAUAAGAUAGUCUCAUCAUGCAUGAACUGAUGUGAUACUUAGCAUAUUUCCUUACCCAAUUUAUUAUUAAUCAUACUUGGAUCUUCCUGAGAUCGUUUUUUAAUACACUUAAUAUAAUUUCUAAUUAGUGUACAAAUUUGUGUGCAAAUGUAGGAUCUCCCACUCUUGGCUAACUUGGUAGAGUAACUAAAACUACUUCAUAUCAAAAAGGAAUACAACUUUUCUUUUGUUUAAGUUCAUAGGCACAUGACAUCAAUGACCUAUGUUCUUGUCAUGGACAUGUGCUUGUCCUUUUAGCCUGAUACAUGUCUGUUUUUCUGAAAUGUUAUUAAAGUCAAGUAAGACAGAACACAAUCAGUGGUAGAAGCGAAAGGAUAGCCUUCUAAGUUGGUACAUCUGAAGAUUGCAGAAAUAGAUGACAAGCUCAAUGAAUUAGUAUAUAAUACUUUACUUGUAAACAUGAUUUUGGGUUUGAAAAUUGUUGGUUCUCAGGAUCUUAGGAACUCGUAUAAGUAGUUUCAAUUCCGUUUUUCUUUUAGUGCUGUAGUGCUGAUGUUUCUAGCUUAGUUUAAUAUUUUAAUUCUGCAUAGUUAAAGAUAAUAGUUAGAUUUUAAAUGUUGACAAAUUUGACAUAUGCUACUUGUUUGGUCUAUAACUUUCUCUAUAGUUAUUCAUUUGAGUUGAUUAUUUUAGCAUUGCACUCCUGAUUUAAUUAUCUUUAAUUUGAGUGCAAGAACUUAAAUUUUGGACUUAUGAUGCGGUUGCAGUUUGAUUUCGUAAAUUCCAGAAAGUUUGUAGAAUUCAAUUUUGACAACUAGUUUUCUUGUCCGGUUUUUGUUAGAUAAAACUAGUGCACAUGCUAGAUUUCGGUUCCUUUAUAGUUUCUAGUAGUUAAUGUUUAUGUUUUAUUGUUUGGAGAAUAUAUUGUAUGUAGUUUAUGUUUUCUUUGUUCCUUGGCUGUGCAAUAUUGUAUUUAUGUUAUGAUACAAGAAAAGAUAUAGAAUUUUUAGUCAUCUUCGACUUUAAGUUUACCUCUGUUGUUAGUUACGUAAUAAACAUGAGGCGAAAUCCUCUUCCAUGGACAUUACCCUGUUUGUUUUUUCUAAUGAAUCUUCCUAUUAUGAGUAUUGCAGGUUCAAUGUCUUGGGUAUGCAUGAGUUUGAUAGUGACAGGAAGAGGAUGUCAGUUAUAUUGGAGUACCUUGACAAUUAUGUGAAAGUGUUUGUCAAAGGAGCACACACAUCCAUGCUUAAUGUGAUAGACAAGUCAUUUAGCGUAGAGUUAGUAAGAGCCACGGAAGCUCAUCUUCACUCUUACUCUUCCAUUGGUUUGAGGACAAUUUAGAGAUUUAAAUGCUUUAGAAUUUGAGGAAUGGCAUGCAUCCUUCGAGGCUCCAAGCACUGUUGUUUUUGGCAGGGCUGCUAUGCUCCGCAAGGUUUCUAGCAUUGUAGAGAACAGUCUCAGCAUAUUAGGAUUUGCCAUUGAAGAUAAACUGCAGCAAGAUAUACACAGAUAUUUAGCGACUCAUGGAGACAUAUACGUGGGUGCCUUGUUUUAUGGGUUGUCGUGACUAUGUUCAGUGGAUUGGCUGAACUUUUCAUGGUUGUUUCAAGGAUUCCUAUUUUCUACAAACAAAGAUAUUAUUUUUUUUUUCUUCAUGGAUAUAUUACAUAUAUGGUUUUAUCCGUUUAUGUUACAAUUAAUUUAUUUAUGAAUUUUCGUAUGUAAGUAGAACUU